GGAAGAACGCAGCGAAAUGCGAUAAGUAAUGUGAAUUGCAGAAUUCAGUGAAUCAUCGAAUCUUUGAACGCACAUUGCGCCCGCCAGUAUUCUGGCGGGCAUGCCUGUUCGAGCGUCAUUUCAACCAUCAAGCCCCAGGCUUGUGUUGGGGACCUGCGGCUGCCGCAGGCCCUGAAAACCAGUGGCGGGCUCGCUGUCACACCGGGCGUAGUAGAUUUUAUCUCGCUCAGGGCGUGCUGCGGGUUCCGGCCGUUAAAAAGCCUUUUUUACCCAAGGUUGACCUCGGAUCAGGUAGGAAGACCCGCUGAACUUAAGCAUAUCAAUAAGCGGAGGA
rnacentral:misc_RNA from 1 species